rnacentral:rRNA from 1 species
AUGGCUUCGUCCACUGUCUGGCAGUGCCUUGUUGCUCUCUCCUUCUUGUCCUCCGCCGCCUACGGCUACGGCUACGGGCAGGGCAAUGGCUAUGGCAACGGUAACGGCAACGGCAACAACAAUGGCUACGGCAACGGGCAGCUGGAUCCCAUGUUCUAUGAAAAGAGCUGCCCCGCUCUGGGGUUCAUCGUGCGCGUGAGCAUGAUCAAGGCCGUCCUCACGGAGCGCCGCAUGGGCGCCUCCCUCCUCCGCCUCUUCUUCCAUGACUGCUUUGUUCAGGGCUGUGACGGAUCCAUUCUCCUGGACGACGUGCCGGCGAGUAACUUCACCGGCGAGAAGACCGCCUUCCCCAACGUCAACUCCGUCCGCGGCUUCGAGGUCAUCGACGAUAUCAAGAGGAACGUGGAGUACGUCUGUCCGGGCGUCGUGUCCUGCGCCGACAUCCUCGCCUUGGCCGCACGGGAGGGCACAGUCCUGCUUGGCGGGCCAAGCUGGGCGGUGCCGCUGGGCCGGCGGGACUCGACGACGGCGAGCCUGGACGGCGCGAACAGCGACCUCCCCGGGCCGACGCUAAACCUCACCGAGCUCAUCCAGUCGUUCGCCAACAAGAGCCUGAGCCCGCGCGACCUCACGGCGCUCUCCGGCGCGCACACCAUCGGCUUCUCGCAGUGCGUCUUCUUCCGGGACCACAUCUACAACGACACCAACAUCGACCCCGCGUUCGCCGCGGAGCUACAGCGGAACUGCCCGGCCCCGGCGGGCUCCGGCGACACCAACCUGACGCCGCUCGACGCGCAGACGCGGUUCGUCUUCGACAACGCCUACUACCCCAACCUCGUCGCGCGGCGGGGCCUGCUGCACUCCGACCAGGAGCUCUUCAAUGGCGCCGCCCAGGACGAUUUGGUGCGGCAGUACAGCUCGAACAGCGCGCUCUUCUUCGCCGACUUCGUGGCCGCGAUGAUCAAGAUGGGGAACAUCAGCCCGCUCACCGGAAGCGCCGGCGAGAUCAGGCGCAACUGCAGGGUCGUCAACAGCAGCUGA